rnacentral:rRNA from 1 species
UUUACGGAGAGUUUGAUCCUGGCUCAGGACGAACGCUGGCGGCGUGCUUAACACAUGCAAGUCGAACGAUGAAGCCGGAGCUUGCUCUGGUGAAUUAGUGGCGAACGGGUGAGUAACACGUGAGCAAUCUGCCCUUGACUCUGGGAUAACUGCGGGAAACUGUAGCUAAUACCGGAUACGACGUACGGAGGCAUCUCCUGUACGUGGAAAGAAUUUUGGUCAAGGAUGAGCUCGCGGCCUAUCAGCUAGUUGGUGAGGUAAUGGCUCACCAAGGCGACGACGGGUAGCCGGCCUGAGAGGGUGACCGGCCACACUG